AUGCCUAAAGAAAAAUAAGAAGGAUUCAUAAUUCUCCAAAUUUCUUGAAAUUUUCAAGAAAUUGCAAAUUACUGUUCCAUUUAGCGAAUCAUUAGAGCAAAUGCCGAGCUAUGGAAAGUUCCUCAAGGAAAUCUUAAGCAAAAAGAUAUGUUUGGAAGAUACUGAGAUGGUGAAACUGACGGAGGAGUGUAGUGCAACAAUACAAAGGCAACUACCACCUAAGCGAAAGGAUCCAUGGAUGUUUUCUAUUCCUUGCACCAUUGGCACUAUUUCUUUUCAAAAAGCAUUGUGUGAUCUAGAUGGUGGAUAAAUCACUUACAUAUCCUCACAACAUUCUUGAAGAUAUACUAGUGAAGGUGGAUUGCUUCAUAUUCCCAGCUGAUUUCAUAGUUUUGGAUAUGGAAGAAGAUGUCGACACUCCAAUUAUUUUAGGAUGUCCAUUCCUCAGUAAGGGAAGAAUGAUAAUUGAUGUAGAAAAAAGUUCUUUGAUCCUACGAGAAGCCAAUCAAGAGGUGGAAUUCAAAGUUUUUGAUGCAACCAAGUUCCCCAUUGAUUCAGAGUUUUUGGAAUUCAAAGCCU